rnacentral:misc_RNA from 1 species
GAUGAAGAACGCAGCGAAAUGCGAUAAGUAAUGUGAAUUGCAGAAUUCAGUGAAUCAUCGAAUCUUUGAACGCACAUUGCGCCCGCCAGUAUUCUGGCGGGCAUGCCUGUUCGAGCGUCAUUUCAACCCUCGAGCCCCCCCGGGGGCCUCGGUGUUGGGGGACGGCACACCAGCCGCCCCCGAAAUGCAGUGGCGACCCCGCCGCAGCCUCCCCUGCGUAGUAGCACACACCUCGCACCGGAGCGCGGAGGCGGUCACGCCGUAAAACGCCCAACUUUCUUAGAGUUGACCUCGGAUCAGGUAGGAAUACCCGCUGAACUUAAGCAUAUCAAUAAGCGGAGGA